ACAAUGGAUUUACUGCUUCUCUGCAUAUUGGUGUUAUUUUGUAUAAACAAGGUUAACACUCCUUUUAAAUUAAAUGCACCACCUGGUGACUGAGUGGGUGACCUUGCCAGCUUUCUUCACCUGGCUCGGGGAAGCCCAGGCUUUCGCUCCGAUUUCAACCUGUGGCUCUCCUUGGAAUCUCUUUUGCUUCUCACUUAAACAGAGCUCCUGGAGGAGGUUGGCCGGUGACUUGCCCUCUGACCCCGCCGUGGGGGACGAGACCCGAUGGAGGUACUAGGGGCCCCUGCGGCUGAGCCCGUGUCCAGGCACCUUCCACGUGGCGCAGGGCGGAUCAAGGCUUGCCCGGGGCCAGCGCGGGGCUGCCGCCAGCACGAGAGCCUCGGGGACCGCCCUCCUCCGGCAGCCGGUGUCAGCGGAGAGUGACAGACGGUCUGGUGGGCCCUGCCAAGGCAGCCCCUAAAUAGAGAUCUCCAGAGGGGGCAACACCAUAAAAAAGGUUCUUUGUGUUUCACUCUAGCGUGGUAUUGCUCUAAUAUAGAGCUCGGCACUUUCCCCAACCUCUAGGAAUUCGAACACCUGGAAAAAUUCUCCUGGCUUUACAUUGGAGGAAAUUUAAUGGUGUAAACCAACUCUGCAGGGGGGCCCCCUUUGAUUUGAGAAAGCAGUGAUCUGCGGUGCAGUGCUGAGCCGAAGGGGCUUGGAAACGACUUUGCCUGAGAAUGUCCAUUCCUCAAACACUUUAAGGAUGGCUUCGAGUUGUUUAGAAAAAUUUAGGCAGACAGCACCGUCUUGGAAGCAUCUAGAAACUUCGAGAGAAAUAAACUUCAGUUACUCGUUUAAUUACAGGCAUCAGCUUGCCAGUUCCCUGCUAACUGUCCAUUUCCGAAUAGGGCAGAAUUUUUCAGGGGUCUUUGCUGUGCUACUACAGCUUUAUGAAUUGUAGACCGGUUUGUCAGCCUUAUUUUAGCUCGGCAAAUAAGGAAAUCAUACCUGGGAAAGUGAAGUGACUUCCCCAAGGUCACCUGACCCAGAAGCCAAGACUCCAGGCUUGUAAGUUCCAUGAUGUUGAUGCCCUUAUUGUUUCCCUGUGGAGUCCUGCUACCCAGAAAGUAAGCUGUGAGCUAAGGAGAGGAAAAGGCCCAACACCUGCCUGUCAGGGCUCCUGGAUCACGCCCUGCUGCCUGCUGACCUAUAUUGGACUCGAGCCCUUCUUCUGGCAUGCUCACCUGUUAACCCACCUAUCAGCCCACACCUCUGACUGCUGGCUGCUCCCCAUUGAGCCUGAAAUACUGUGCUAUCUGCCUGUACCCUUUUGCAUAAGCUGGGGUUGGGUUAUCUCAGAUUUCUAUUUGGGUCAAGAUUGCCACAUACCUCACCUCUUCUGUUCUGGUCCUCAUCCUGUGUUCCUGGACAAAAAUAACAUUUGAGUAGAAAGCUUUUCUACUUGUUGACAUAGUUGAACAGAUUUUGCUUUAUUGAGAUGAAAUGGAGCCUAAAUUUAUCUGGAAAUGUGUGGAAUCAGUAGAGAGAAGUAAACACAACUCGAAGAAAGCGGGAAACCCCUGUGUACAAUUCAGCUUUUUCACUCCCAGGGAGUUGGGCAUGAUUGUAAAGAAUGAUGUUUUCAAGCCUGCCAAUAACAGAACACGUCUGUAUCCAUUGUGGAUGGGCUUCUUUGAGAAAGCUUCCUUUUCGCCCAAGUAGAGGAGCUCUUCACUGCCCUAAGAUUCUGCUUUCCUACUCCCAUGUCAGAGCAGGAAAAGGUGAAUAUUUUUCACACAGAAUAGCCUCAUCCAUUCCCACGGGGAGUGAGAUAGUUCCUGUAGGGUGCUAGUGAUGGCAUAAAAUUACAGCUCACUAGAGAAACAGUUGCGAGUAAAGAAAUAUAUACAUUUCCUCUAUUUGUGUUCCCUGUCUGUGUUGUCUAAGUUGCAAACAACAGACUCCACUUCAGCUAGGUUAAAGGGAAAAGAGGUUUAAUAAAGAAAAUUAAAUAGCUUAUAGCAUCACUGGGGAACUAGAGAAACAGAUUUAAGGCUAAGCUUCCAGAAACAUAUCCCAAAACAUGCCCCCAAACCGUGACACUGACAUGAAGAGACAGUUGUCAUUGCUGCUUUAUUGAACAGAGGACUGAGAAUUUUUCUACAGUCACUGCUGUUCUCUGCACUGAUGGAAGCCAAGCCUGCCUGGAGAACUCAACUUUGCAACCCAAAGCUGGUGGCUAAUGUGGCUACCCCUACCAACAAAAUGGAAACUCCACCAGGUGUCUGAAUCCAGCUCUCACGACCAUUUAGUGGAGCAGGAAGAAACUGCAGGCCUUUUGGAGGUAUUUCCUUGUGAUUCUGGUCCAAUCCACCACCACCGUCUCACGCUUAGAACCCUGCAAUCCUUCCUGAAGGAGGGCAUUUUGGAAGUGCAACUGGGUCUGCAGUCCUUGACACAGAAACACACUGACUCAACACCUUCUGACGCUGGAGACUUAUGCUUGACAAUUGCCCUUCAAGGAUAAGAAAAAUCCCAGCAAGGCACCGUCCUUGGUUUCAAUGAUGCCCAGAGAAAAGAAAAAGAAAAAAGAAUAUAAAUCUGAUUUCUUUUCCAUUGAAGCAGUUUUAAUGCUUCCAGUGAAACACAGAAAAUAAAGAUUUGUAAUUGGGAGUUCAAGGCCAUCCAUAGCUUCUCUCCUGAGCUUCGUCUCUACAUGUAGAUUUCUUGAGUUCUAGCAUUCCAAUGGUACCAUGUUUACAUCUUUUUAUUUUGGGACCUUGAUGGAAUAAAUGGAGCUAUGUAGUCUACCAGAGUAUGACAGAUAAUGGAUAGCUCGUCAUUUAAAACAAUCUUUUUUGCCGCUAAUAAUUAUACUAGAAUUUUAAAUAUGCUACCUCUUCCACCAGAUGGUCUUGAAUAAUGCUUCCAUCUACUUAAUUGUGCUUUUUGUAAAUCAGUUGCAUAAAAUCUUUUGAUGCAGUUUCAAAGAUCCCUUUUGUAGAAGCACGGAGAUCAUGUAAUUGGCUGAGAACAACUAUCCAGUCUGAGAGGAUGACCUUUUACCCUCUACCCAAAAAGAGCACUCCAGAGAGAAAGGUGCCGUAAUCUGGGUUUAAGGCUUCUUACCAUCAUGUGGAGAGCCUGUUUCCUGUGCCACACACACAGUGGCAAGAAAGCUCAGCUUCAACAUUAAUGUAGAACUUCCCACGUUGCUCUUGAGAAAAUCCACUCCUUAAAGAGGAAGAAAGGACCUCACCCCAUGCCUCCCUCCCUCGGUGGAGAUGCCCACACAUGGGCACUCGGAACCAGUUGCAGGCAACUGUGAAUUGGGAGGAAGGAAAGAAGAGAUUAGGACUGAAAGAGGUGAGUAUGUUCAAGUCUGUUUCUAGUGUAGAGAUAGCGAGAUGGUCACCCGUUAAUUCAUUUGCAAGGCUGAGAGUAAUGCUGAAUCCUGGCUUAGGACACCAGUAGAUGACUUCCCAACAAAUAAGUGGACAAAAAGAUGACACCACCACCUGAAGGAACUUUUAAAGCAAUGAAUGAAGCACCUUGAAAAGUUAGAUUUUGGUUAAGAGACACAUCCCCAAAGUUAAAUGAAAAGGUAGAACCUGGCUUUGCAAAACUGAUGAAAAAUGGCCAUGUAUGCUACAAAGUAAGACCCUUUUUUUGACAUUUUUUUUUUUCCAUGAGAGUCAACAGGGGAAAGUUUGGCUAAUGUUUUCUAUCACUAAAGACUUAAAAAAUAACUGGAAACAUUCCCAUAGGCUUUGUUUGUUUGUUUUUAAGAGGCUUGUUUCUCGUUUUUCCAUGCAAAUUAAAAUUCCUAGUGUGGCUUCUAUAAAUUUGAACUUUUGAAAACUUUCCCUUAGCAUUUGGCUCAAAGUGUAGCUGGCACUUCCGUGUGACAACAGAGAAAUUUCAGUUCUGCUUUUCUUCAGAGCUGCGUGUUAUGGGUUAGAUAAGUAAACUUGGCUUUCUCUGUUCUAACGACAGUGUGUCCAGGGAAGCUGGAAGAAGAAUGGCUCCAGGGUUCCUGUCGAUGCCAGAUUUCACCAGCGCUACCCUGCUUUUAUCAGUUUUCCAUAUAGAGCUUUCAUAAAGGUUUUCUUUUUCUGUUUUUUAAAUUGUGGUAAAAUACAUAUAACAUAAAAUUUACCAUCCGUGACACUAACUGCAUUUACCAUGUUGUGAUGCAACCAUCACCACGAGAACAUUUUCACCACCCCAAAAGGAAACCCCAAACCCAUUAAGCAGUUACUCUUCAUUUUCCCUCUUCCACCAGCCCGUGGCAACCACUAAUCUGCUUUCUGUCUGUGUGGAUUUGCCAACUCUACUUUUUAUGUUUCAUAUAAAUGGAAUUAUGCCAUAUACAUAACCUUCUAUGUCUCACUGCUUCUACUUACAAUAAAUGUUUUCAAUCGAAGUUCA